AUUCACUGUGGAAAAUUACAUCAACGAACUUUCCAGUAACUUUUUUUUUUUUUUAAGAUCUCUACUUGCUGUCAGUGAACAUACAACUUCCUAAUUUUAUCUUCAGAAAUAUUAAAUAGCAGCCGAACGCGAGCGCCAUGUACGACACGGUGGAGCCGAACGUCAUAGACGAUGAGAUGCUGAGAAACGCCGCGGAGGAACAGGGUCCGCGGGAGGAAGCCGGCCACAUCGCCAAGAUGGAGGGUAUCAGCUUCAAGGACGUCACUAGCUUACGCCUCGACUUCAAAAACAUCCUGAAGGUAGAUAACCUAUGGCAGUUCCACAAUCUGAC